AAAACGACUCUCGGCAACGGAUAUCUUGGCUCUCGCAUCGAUGAAGAACGUAGCGAAAUGCGAUACUUGGUGUGAAUUGCAGAAUCCCGUGAACCAUCGAGUCUUUGAACGCAAGUUGCGCCCGAAGCCAUCAGGCCGAGGGCACGUCUGCCUGGGCGUCACGC
rnacentral:rRNA from 1 species